GAUGAAGAACGUAGCGAAAUGCGAUAAGUAGUGUGAAUUGCAGAAUUCAGUGAAUCAUCGAAUCUUUGAACGCACAUUGCGCCCCAUGGUAUUCCGUGGGGCAUGCCUGUUCGAGCGUCAUUUACCCCCUCAAGCUCCGCUUGGUGUUGGGCGUCUGUCCCGCUUCGCGCGCGGACUCGCCCCAAAGGUAUUGGCAGCGGUCGUGCCAGCUUCUCGCGCAGCACAUUGCGCUUCUCGAGGCACCGGUGGGCCCGCGUCCAUCAAGCUCACCCGCCCAGUUUGACCUCGGAUCAGGUAGGGAUACCCGCUGAACUUAAGCAUAUCAAUAAGCGGAGGA
rnacentral:misc_RNA from 1 species